rfam:Ovis aries breed Texel chromosome 17, whole genome shotgun sequence.
UCCCUGGUGGUCUAGUGGUUAAGACACUGCCUUUCCAAUGCAAAGGGUGUGGGUUCAAUCUCUGCUCUGGGAA